GUAAGCAAGGAACUUUAUGUACAGUAUAUGGACGUUUACAAAUGCAUUUGAAGACCCCUGAGCUGGCUUGCGAAACAAGACGUCGAAUCGAGACAUACCCGUGGAAUAAGUGCUCAGCCAAUGACGCAAUCAGUGGCAGUCAAGGGAGCGAGCAGCGCGUGCUCGACACGGCGACAGGUUACCAAUACAACGAUAACGAAAGGAAAUUAAAACCUCAGUUUACUGCCUCUGUUUUCACAGAAACUCGAGUCAGGGUUUUCUGUUGACUCAUUAGCAGCAAGAACUAAUAAUAACUACAUGCCGACAUUGUAGCUUUGUUCGUUUUACGUUAAGCUUGUUUUUAUUGUACAAGACGAGGUGUAAGUGCGUUUAUAAAACGACAACAUACCUUUAAACGCGCGAUAAAUCAUUCCGAGGCAUUAUCUUCUUUUUGAUAUCUCCAGUCCGAGAUUAGCCUAGCUUCAGCGGCGAGGAAUCUCAGUGUAUUUGUGUAGUCACGACAGGCUAUCAUAUGGGCCGCGUCUCAAACCGCCAUACUAAAUGGUGUGUCAAAAUUAAACCGACAUUGGUAAUACAUAAAAACAUUUUUUAUUUGAGUAUAGAGUUCUAGAAAAUAAACUCAUGUAAUGCCUCAUGGUGUUUGCGUACUCGUUAAUGUGGUAUUUAUUUGAAUACCAUAUAAGACGGUACUGUGCGGUUUGGAACGCACCCAUGCGGUAAGGUUUACGUACUGUACCGUGCUGUAGGAGGAUAGACUAUAGCUCUGAUUCUCAAAAUGGGGUCCGGGAACCCCCUGGGGUCAAUGAGGCAUAGUUAGGGGUUCCAUGAAUUUAGUUACAGUGGUGGAAAUAACAGCCCGCAUUAUCAAAGUUAUUAUAUUUAGGGGUCCAAGCACCAAAGUCAACUCAGACCUGUGUUCUAUCAGUGGAAACGUCAAGAAUAAGCCCUAUCCAGUGCCUCUUCGACUGCUUGGAUGAAAUGGGAAUGGAGCGUGAUCGUAUGACCACGUGACGCAAACAUCUGGUUGUGUAGAAAAUACAACCCGCUAGGGCUUUUGCCAACCGAGAGUGGCUCGACAUGAUGUACUCCAUCAUGGGGUAUGUCAAGGAGGAGCCUUCCAACCAGGCUGGAACCAUCUACCACCCUCCCUCCCCCACUGUGAAUCUCGUCCAGCCUUCCGUGUCAACAGAGAAUGUUGUUUAGCCUCCCUGCUCGUCUGAGGACGCCACACAGUGUCCCUGUUCAGCUGAAGACAUUGCUCCGCCUCCCGGUGCAGCCAAGAGCUCCGCUUUUCUUCCCUGCUUCACUUCGGACAUUGCGCCACCUUCCUACUCCACUGAGGAUGUUGCUCUGCCUUCCUACUCGGCUGAGGACAUCGCUCUGCUGUCCUGCUCCACUGAGGACGUCGCUCUGCCUCCAUGCUUCGCUGAAGACGUUGCUCCUUUUCUUUGCUUUGUGCUGUAUGUUGCUCUCCCUUCCUGCUUCACAGAGAGCAUCGCUCCCCCCUCAUGCUUCACGGGGAGCUCCCCCCACUGGCCUCGUGGAGAACCUCACUCCCCUCUCUGGCCUCUCGGAGAGCGUCGCUACCCCCUCUAUCUUCAUGGGGAAUGUCGCUUCCCACUCAGGCUCCGCCUUGAGCUUCGUUCCUCCCGCUGGCUGUGCAGGAGCAUACCAAGUUCCAGUCUGAGGUCAACAAGACAGCCUCUCAAGUCAAGUUCCUGCUAGAGGACAACGAGGUGACCUCCUAUGCCCAUUUCCAGUCUGAGGUCAAAGAGAUGGCCUCCCAAACUCUGUUCCUGUCUGAGGUCAACAUCACGACCAACCUCAUGCCUACCCCUUGGUUCCUUGAGGAGCCUGCUAUCUGUUGGGUAAUGCCUGCCUCGGGACCUGAGGGGCUGUGAAGACAUUUUGCCCAAAGGGCCAGGACCGGCAGGGGGAGAGAGUGUUUUCUGGCGAUAAGGGAGUAGUACCUUUGGGGUGGGGUGGGGGGACUACAGCUCCCAGCAGCCACUGCACUACAUCACGGUCACAUGACCACCUGCACCUGAAUCACAUUCUAGU